rnacentral:rRNA from 1 species
GGUUAAGCGACUAAGCGUACACGGUGGAUGCCCUGGCAGUCAGAGGCGAUGAAGGACGUGCUAAUCUGCGAUAAGCGUCGGUGAGGUGAUAUGAACCGUUAUAACCGGCGAUUUCCGAAUGGGGAAACCCAGUGUGUUUCGACACACUAUCAUUAACUGAAUCCAUAGGUUAAUGAGGCGAACCGGGGGAACUGAAACAUCUAAGUACCCCGAGGAAAAGAAAUCAACCGAGAUUCCCCCAGUAGCGGCGAGCGAACGGGGAGCAGCCCAGAGCCUGAAUCAGUGUGUGUGUUAGUGGAAGCGUCUGGAAAGGCGCGCGAUACAGGGUGACAGCCCCGUACACAAAAAUGCACAUGCUGUGAGCUCGAUGAGUAGGGCGGGACACGUGGUAUCCUGUCUGAAUAUGGGGGGACCAUCCUCCAAGGCUAAAUACUCCUGACUGACCGAUAGUGAACCAGUACCGUGAGGGAAAGGCGAAAAGAACCCCGGCGAGGGGAGUGAAAAAGAACCUGAAACCGUGUACGUACAAGCAGUGGGAGCCUCUUAAUGGGGUGACUGCGUACCUUUUGUAUAAUGGGUCAGCGACUUAUAUUCUGUAGCAAGGUUAACCGAAUAGGGGAGCCGAAGGGAAACCGAGUCUUAACUGGGCGUUAAGUUGCAGGGUAUAGACCCGAAACCCGGUGAUCUAGCCAUGGGCAGGUUGAAGGUUGGGUAACACUAACUGGAGGACCGAACCGACUAAUGUUGAAAAAUUAGCGGAUGACUUGUGGCUGGGGGUGAAAGGCCAAUCAAACCGGGAGAUAGCUGGUUCUCCCCGAAAGCUAUUUAGGUAGCGCCUCGUGAAUUCAUCUCCGGGGGUAGAGCACUGUUUCGGCAAGGGGGUCAUCCCGACUUACCAACCCGAUGCAAACUGCGAAUACCGGAGAAUGUUAUCACGGGAGACACACGGCGGGUGCUAACGUCCGUCGUGAAGAGGGAAACAACCCAGACCGCCAGCUAAGGUCCCAAAGUCAUGGUUAAGUGGGAAACGAUGUGGGAAGGCCCAGACAGCCAGGAUGUUGGCUUAGAAGCAGCCAUCAUUUAAAGAAAGCGUAAUAGCUCACUGGUCGAGUCGGCCUGCGCGGAAGAUGUAACGGGGCUAAACCAUGCACCGAAGCUGCGGCAGCGACACUAUGUGUUGUUGGGUAGGGGAGCGUUCUGUAAGCCUGUGAAGGUGUACUGUGAGGUAUGCUGGAGGUAUCAGAAGUGCGAAUGCUGACAUAAGUAACGAUAAAGCGGGUGAAAAGCCCGCUCGCCGGAAGACCAAGGGUUCCUGUCCAACGUUAAUCGGGGCAGGGUGAGUCGACCCCUAAGGCGAGGCCGAAAGGCGUAGUCGAUGGGAAACAGGUUAAUAUUCCUGUACUUGGUGUUACUGCGAAGGGGGGACGGAGAAGGCUAUGUUGGCCGGGCGACGGUUGUCCCGGUUUAAGCGUGUAGGCUGGUUUUCCAGGCAAAUCCGGAAAAUCAAGGCUGAGGCGUGAUGACGAGGCACUACGGUGCUGAAGCAACAAAUGCCCUGCUUCCAGGAAAAGCCUCUAAGCAUCAGGUAACAUCAAAUCGUACCCCAAACCGACACAGGUGGUCAGGUAGAGAAUACCAAGGCGCUUGAGAGAACUCGGGUGAAGGAACUAGGCAAAAUGGUGCCGUAACUUCGGGAGAAGGCACGCUGAUAUGUAGGUGAAGUCCCUCGCGGAUGGAGCUGAAAUCAGUCGAAGAUACCAGCUGGCUGCAACUGUUUAUUAAAAACACAGCACUGUGCAAACACGAAAGUGGACGUAUACGGUGUGACGCCUGCCCGGUGCCGGAAGGUUAAUUGAUGGGGUUAGCGGUAACGCGAAGCUCUUGAUCGAAGCCCCGGUAAACGGCGGCCGUAACUAUAACGGUCCUAAGGUAGCGAAAUUCCUUGUCGGGUAAGUUCCGACCUGCACGAAUGGCGUAAUGAUGGCCAGGCUGUCUCCACCCGAGACUCAGUGAAAUUGAACUCGCUGUGAAGAUGCAGUGUACCCGCGGCAAGACGGAAAGACCCCGUGAACCUUUACUAUAGCUUGACACUGAACAUUGAGCCUUGAUGUGUAGGAUAGGUGGGAGGCUUUGAAGUGUGGACGCCAGUCUGCAUGGAGCCGGCCUUGAAAUACCACCCUUUAAUGUUUGAUGUUCUAACGUUGGCCCCUGACCGGGGUUGCGGACAGUGUCUGGUGGGUAGUUUGACUGGGGCGGUCUCCUCCUAAAGAGUAACGGAGGAGCACGAAGGUUGGCUAAUCCUGGUCGGACAUCAGGAGGUUAGUGCAAUGGCAUAAGCCAGCUUGACUGCGAGCGUGACGGCGCGAGCAGGUGCGAAAGCAGGUCAUAGUGAUCCGGUGGUUCUGAAUGGAAGGGCCAUCGCUCAACGGAUAAAAGGUACUCCGGGGAUAACAGGCUGAUACCGCCCAAGAGUUCAUAUCGACGGCGGUGUUUGGCACCUCGAUGUCGGCUCAUCACAUCCUGGGGCUGAAGUAGGUCCCAAGGGUAUGGCUGUUCGCCAUUUAAAGUGGUACGCGAGCUGGGUUUAGAACGUCGUGAGACAGUUCGGUCCCUAUCUGCCGUGGGCGCUGGAGAACUGAGGGGGGCUGCUCCUAGUACGAGAGGACCGGAGUGGACGCAUCACUGGUGUUCGGGUUGUCAUGCCAAUGGCACUGCCCGGUAGCUAAAUGCGGAAGAGAUAAGUGCUGAAAGCAUCUAAGCACGAAACUUGCCCCGAGAUGAGUUCUCCCUGACUCCUUGAGAGUCCUGAAGGAACGUUGAAGACGACGACGUUGAUAGGCCGGGUGUGUAAGCGCAGCGAUGCGUUGAGCUAACCGGUACUAAUGAACCGUGAGGCUUAACCUU